rnacentral:lncRNA from 1 species
GAUCCGCUAUCACAUCUACUUUGCCAUGCUGUGGCACUAUAGCUUAGUGCAUUCAAUAGAAAUUAGAAAUGAACAUGCUUUGAAAAAUUUAGAUUGGAAAAGAGAUUUAAAUUUCUUAUCAUGUUAAUGGCACUAGUAUGCUUUAUAUAAAAGUUGAGCCUUUUGGCUUUAGGAAUCAAAUAUGGUAGAAUACAACAAUAAAAUUUCAUGAUUAUGAGAAAAAUACUAG